CGGGUGCGACGUGUAGCAGGUGCCCGACGGCGAUUCCCGCCCGAGGGUUAAACGGGAAACAGGUGCGCGAACGGCUCCCGAAGCCGCCCUCCGCAAUGCCUGUGCUGCCCCCGCAACGGUAAGUGGACGCAAAGCGCAUCCAACCGCCACUGGACGAGAGUCCGGGAAGGCGAUGCGCCCGGUACGGACUCCGCCACGGAGUGCCGACCAGCCCAUGAGCCCGGAUACCGGCCUGGACACGAGAAGGCGG
rnacentral:ncRNA from 2 species